rnacentral:rRNA from 1 species
GGGGAAUUCUCCGCAAUGGGCGAAAGCCUGACGGAGCAAUACCGCGUGAGGGAUGACGGCCUAUGGGUUGUAAACCUCUUUUUUCAGGGAGGAUAAUGACGUGUACCUGAAGAAUAAGCAUCGGCUAACUCCGUGCCAGCAGCCGCGGUAAGACGGGGGAUGCAAGUGUUAUCCGGAAUCACUGGGCGUAAAGCGUCUGUAGGUGGUCCAAUAAGUCAACUGUUAAAUCUUGAGGCUCAACUUCAAAAUCGCAGUCGAAACUAUUAGACUAGAGUAUAGUAGGGGUAAAGGGAAUCUCCAGUGGAGCGGUGAAAUGCGUAGAGAUUGGAAAGAACACCGAUGGCGAAGGCACUUCACUGGGCUAUUACUGACACUCAGAGACGAAAGCUAGGGUAGCAAAUGGGAUUAGAUACCCCAGUAGUCCUAGCCGUAAACAAUGGAUACUAGAUGUUGAACAGAUCGACCUGUGCAGUAUCAAAGCUAACGCGUUAAGUAUCCCGCCUGGGAAGUAUGCUCGCAAGAGUG